rnacentral:rRNA from 1 species
GUGAGGAAUUUUCCGCAAUGGGCGAAAGCCUGACGGAGCAAUGCCGCGUGAAGGAUGAAGGCCUAUGGGUUGUAAACUUCUUUUCUCAGAAAAGAAUUAUGACGGUAUCUGAGGAAUAAGCAUCGGCUAACUCUGUGCCAGCAGCCGCGGUAAGACAGAGGAUGCAAGCGUUAUCCGGAAUGAUUGGGCGUAAAGCGUCUGUAGGUUGUUUAAAAAGUAUUCUGUCAAAGAUUAGGGCUUAACCCUAGAUAGGCAGAAUAAACUUUUAAGCUAGAGUUUAGUAGAGGCAGAGGGAAUUCCCGGUGGAGCGGUGAAAUGCGUAGAUAUCGGGAGGAACACCAAAGGCGAAGGCACUCUGCUGGGCCAAUACUAACACUGAGAGACGAAAGCGAGGGGAGCAAAUGGGAUUAGAAACCCGGGUAGUCC